GAGUGAACCGGGAAAUGCUCAAAUUUGAAAUCUGCCAGCCUAUCUUUUUCUUUGGCUGUCCGACUUGUAAUCUAGAGAAGUGCUUACCCGCGCUGGACCAUGUAUAAGUCUCCUGGAAUGGAGCCUCAUAGAGGGUGAGAAUCCCGUCUUUGACAUGGACUUCCCAGUGCAUAGUGGUGUGCUCUCAAAGAGUCGAGUUGUUUGGGAAUGCAGCUCUAAAUGGGUGGUAAACUCCAUCUAAAGCUAAAUAUUGGCGAGAGACCGAUAGCGAACAAGUACCGUGAGGGAAAGAUGAAAAGCACUUUGGAAAGAGAGUUAAACAGUAUGUGAAAUUGUUGAAAGGGAAACACUUGAAGUCAGUCGUGUCUGCCAGGGAUCAUCCCAUCUCAUUUUGCUGGGUGAACUUCCUGGUCUGACCGGCCAACAUCAGUUUCGACUGUUGGAAAAGAGCGGAGGGAAUGUGGCACCUUUGGGUGUGUUAUAGCCUUCUGUCAUAUAUAGCAGUUGGGACUGAGGAAUUGCAGCGCGCCGCAAGGCAGAGUCUUUGACUACCUUCGCGCUUAUGAUGUUGGCGUUUAAUGGCUUUAAUUGACCCGUCUUGAAACACGGACCAAGGAGUCUAACAUGCCUGCGAGUAUUUGGGUCAUAAAAACCCUUGUGCACAAUGAAAGUGAAAGUUGACAUCCCUGUCGUGGGGAGCAUCGACGCCCGGACCUGAGCUUUUAGCGACGGAUCCGCGGUAGAGCAUGCAUGUUGGGACCCGAAAGAUGGUGAACUAUGCCUGAAUAGGGCAAAGCCAGAGGAAACUCUGGUGGAGGCUCGUAGCGAUUCUGACGUGCAAAUCGAUCGUCGAAUUUGGGUAUAGG
rnacentral:rRNA from 1 species